UACAGAGGGGGCAAGCGUUGUUCGGAAUUACUGGGCGUAAAGGGCGCGUAGGCGGCCUUCUAAGUCGAACGUGAAAUCCCCGGGCUCAACCUGGGAACUGCGUCCGAUACUGGCAGGCUUGAAUCCGGGAGAGGGAUGUGGAAUUCCAGGUGUAGCGGUGAAAUGCGUAGAUAUCUGGAGGAACACCGGUGGCGAAGGCGGCAUCCUGGACCGGUAUUGACGCUGAGGCGCGAAAGCGUGGGGAGCAAACAGG
rnacentral:rRNA from 1 species